UGAGACCAGAAGAGCUAAGGUUAGCUGGCAGCAGGGAAGCUGGUGCUGUGGAAAUUUUGGAGUGGUGGAUGAUGCAGAAACAAAGUCACCCUGGCACAUCAGAAAUGAAACUGUAAAUAGGCUGCCCACCUGAAAUCAACUGCAAGAACUAAAGCUUGAGGUUUCCUGUUUUUGAAGAAAUCCCUGCUUAAACAAACCUCUUAUUCCUGAUGAGACCUGUGUCUGCCACCUAGUGAGUGAACUGAUGAUACUGCAGGGAUGCAGGAAGAUGAGAACGAAGGGCCUAAACCACGCUCUGCUUCUAGCAGCCAGUGGGAUCCAG